GACGUAGGGCGCGAGCGUUGUCCGGAUUUAUUGGGCGUAAAGAGCUCGUAGGCGGCUUGUCGCGUCGUCCGUGAAAACUUGGGGCUCAACCCCAAGCUUGCGGUCGAUACGGGCAGACUAGAGUGCGGUAGGGGAGACUGGAAUUCCUGGUGUAGCGGUGGAAUGCGCAGAUAUCAGGAGGAACACCGAUGGCGAAGGCAGGUCUCUGGGCCGCAACUGACGCUGAGGAGCGAAAGCAUGGGGAGCGAACAGG
rnacentral:rRNA from 1 species